rnacentral:rRNA from 1 species
UACGUAGGGUGCGAGCGUUGUCCGGAAUUAUUGGGCGUAAAGAGCUCGUAGGCGGUGUGUCACGUCGUUCGUGAAAACCUGCAGCUUAACUGUGGGCGUGCGGUCGAUACGGGCAUCACUGGAGUUCGGCAGGGGAGACUGGAAUUCCUGGUGUAGCGGUGAAAUGCGCAGAUAUCAGGAGGAACACCGGUGGCGAAGGCGGCGACCUGGGUCGAGACUGACGCUGAGGCGCGAAAGCGUGGGGAGCAAACAGG